UUAAGCGACUAAGCGUACACGGUGGAUGCCCUGGCAGUCAGAGGCGAUGAAGGACGUGCUAAUCUGCGAUAAGCGUCGGUAAGGUGAUAUGAACCGUUAUAACCGGCGAUUUCCGAAUGGGGAAACCCAGUGUGUUUCGACACACUAUCAUUAACUGAAUCCAUAGGUUAAUGAGGCGAACCGGGGGAACUGAAACAUCUAAGUACCCCGAGGAAAAGAAAUCAACCGAGAUUCCCCCAGUAGCGGCGAGCGAACGGGGAGGAGCCCAGAGCCUGAAUCAGUGUGUGUGUUAGUGGAAGCGUCUGGAAAGGCGCGCGAUACAGGGUGACAGCCCCGUACACAAAAAUGCACAUGCUGUGAGCUCGAUGAGUAGGGCGGGACACGUGGUAUCCUGUCUGAAUAUGGGGGGACCAUCCUCCAAGGCUAAAUACUCCUGACUGACCGAUAGUGAACCAGUACCGUGAGGGAAAGGCGAAAAGAACCCCGGCGAGGGGAGUGAAAAAGAACCUGAAACCGUGUACGUACAAGCAGUGGGAGCACGCUUAGGCGUGUGACUGCGUACCUUUUGUAUAAUGGGUCAGCGACUUAUAUUCUGUAGCAAGGUUAACCGAAUAGGGGAGCCGAAGGGAAACCGAGUCUUAACUGGGCGUUAAGUUGCAGGGUAUAGACCCGAAACCCGGUGAUCUAGCCAUGGGCAGGUUGAAGGUUGGGUAACACUAACUGGAGGACCGAACCGACUAAUGUUGAAAAAUUAGCGGAUGACUUGUGGCUGGGGGUGAAAGGCCAAUCAAACCGGGAGAUAGCUGGUUCUCCCCGAAAGCUAUUUAGGUAGCGCCUCGUGAAUUCAUCUCCGGGGGUAGAGCACUGUUUCGGCAAGGGGGUCAUCCCGACUUACCAACCCGAUGCAAACUGCGAAUACCGGAGAAUGUUAUCACGGGAGACACACGGCGGGUGCUAACGUCCGUCGUGAAGAGGGAAACAACCCAGACCGCCAGCUAAGGUCCCAAAGUCAUGGUUAAGUGGGAAACGAUGUGGGAAGGCCCAGACAGCCAGGAUGUUGGCUUAGAAGCAGCCAUCAUUUAAAGAAAGCGUAAUAGCUCACUGGUCGAGUCGGCCUGCGCGGAAGAUGUAACGGGGCUAAACCAUGCACCGAAGCUGCGGCAGCGACGCUUAUGCGUUGUUGGGUAGGGGAGCGUUCUGUAAGCCUGCGAAGGUGUGCUGUGAGGCAUGCUGGAGGUAUCAGAAGUGCGAAUGCUGACAUAAGUAACGAUAAAGCGGGUGAAAAGCCCGCUCGCCGGAAGACCAAGGGUUCCUGUCCAACGUUAAUCGGGGCAGGGUGAGUCGACCCCUAAGGCGAGGCCGAAAGGCGUAGUCGAUGGGAAACAGGUUAAUAUUCCUGUACUUGGUGUUACUGCGAAGGGGGGACGGAGAAGGCUAUGUUGGCCGGGCGACGGUUGUCCCGGUUUAAGCGUGUAGGCUGGUUUUCCAGGCAAAUCCGGAAAAUCAAGGCUGAGGCGUGAUGACGAGGCACUACGGUGCUGAAGCAACAAAUGCCCUGCUUCCAGGAAAAGCCUCUAAGCAUCAGGUAACAUCAAAUCGUACCCCAAACCGACACAGGUGGUCAGGUAGAGAAUACCAAGGCGCUUGAGAGAACUCGGGUGAAGGAACUAGGCAAAAUGGUGCCGUAACUUCGGGAGAAGGCACGCUGAUAUGUAGGUGAAGCGACUUGCUCGUGGAGCUGAAAUCAGUCGAAGAUACCAGCUGGCUGCAACUGUUUAUUAAAAACACAGCACUGUGCAAACACGAAAGUGGACGUAUACGGUGUGACGCCUGCCCGGUGCCGGAAGGUUAAUUGAUGGGGUUAGCGCAAGCGAAGCUCUUGAUCGAAGCCCCGGUAAACGGCGGCCGUAACUAUAACGGUCCUAAGGUAGCGAAAUUCCUUGUCGGGUAAGUUCCGACCUGCACGAAUGGCGUAAUGAUGGCCAGGCUGUCUCCACCCGAGACUCAGUGAAAUUGAACUCGCUGUGAAGAUGCAGUGUACCCGCGGCAAGACGGAAAGACCCCGUGAACCUUUACUAUAGCUUGACACUGAACAUUGAGCCUUGAUGUGUAGGAUAGGUGGGAGGCUUUGAAGUGUGGACGCCAGUCUGCAUGGAGCCGACCUUGAAAUACCACCCUUUAAUGUUUGAUGUUCUAACGUGGACCCGUAAUCCGGGUUGCGGACAGUGUCUGGUGGGUAGUUUGACUGGGGCGGUCUCCUCCUAAAGAGUAACGGAGGAGCACGAAGGUUGGCUAAUCCUGGUCGGACAUCAGGAGGUUAGUGCAAUGGCAUAAGCCAGCUUGACUGCGAGCGUGACGGCGCGAGCAGGUGCGAAAGCAGGUCAUAGUGAUCCGGUGGUUCUGAAUGGAAGGGCCAUCGCUCAACGGAUAAAAGGUACUCCGGGGAUAACAGGCUGAUACCGCCCAAGAGUUCAUAUCGACGGCGGUGUUUGGCACCUCGAUGUCGGCUCAUCACAUCCUGGGGCUGAAGUAGGUCCCAAGGGUAUGGCUGUUCGCCAUUUAAAGUGGUACGCGAGCUGGGUUUAGAACGUCGUGAGACAGUUCGGUCCCUAUCUGCCGUGGGCGCUGGAGAAUUGAGGGGGGCUGCUCCUAGUACGAGAGGACCGGAGUGGACGCAUCACUGGUGUUCGGGUUGUCAUGCCAAUGGCACUGCCCGGUAGCUAAAUGCGGAAGAGAUAAGUGCUGAAAGCAUCUAAGCACGAAACUUGCCCCGAGAUGAGUUCUCCCUGACUCCUUGAGAGUCCUGAAGGAACGUUGAAGACGACGACGUUGAUAGGCCGGGUGUGUAAGCGCAGCGAUGCGUUGAGCUAACCGGUACUAAUGAACCGUGAGGCUUAACCUU
rnacentral:rRNA from 1 species